rnacentral:rRNA from 2 species
UACGUAGGGGGCAAGCGUUAUCCGGAUUUACUGGGUGUAAAGGGAGCGUAGACGGUGUGGCAAGUCUGAUGUGAAAGGCAUGGGCUCAACCUGUGGACUGCAUUGGAAACUGUCAUACUUGAGUGCCGGAGGGGUAAGCGGAAUUCCUAGUGUAGCGGUGAAAUGCGUAGAUAUUAGGAGGAACACCAGUGGCGAAGGCGGCUUACUGGACGGUAACUGACGUUGAGGCUCGAAAGCGUGGGGAGCAAAC